ACAGAGGGUGCAAGCGUUAAUCGGAGUUACUGGGCGUAAAGGGCGCGUAGGCGGGUAUUUAAGUCGGAUGUGAAAUCCCUGGGCUUAACCUAGGAAUUGCAUUCGAUACUGAAUAUUCUUGAGUAUGGUAGAGGAAAGUGGAAUUCUCGGUGUAGUAGUAAAAUACGUAGAUAUCGAGAAGAACACCGGUGGCGAAGGCGGCUUUCUGGACCAAUACUGACGCUGAGGCGCGAAAGCGUGGGGAGCAAACAG
rnacentral:rRNA from 1 species